UCCUUAUGACAUACAUCAUAGAGUAGUGAACGAGUUAGCAGAUGUUACAGCAGCACCCAUCUUGAUCAUCUACCGAAAUAUCUUGGGAGUCUGGGAAUGUCCCUGCUGACUGGAAGCUAGCCAGUGUUAUUCCAAUUUACAAAAAGGAUGUGAGAGAAGACCUGGGAAACUGCAGACAUAAAAAAUAUUUCAUUUUACUGUUGACCAGAAUGGAGCCAUUGUUUUCCAUGUUGGUGUGUGCUGUAUGAGCGGAAUAGAUAAAAGCAGAGAAAAUUAUUGAAUGGACAGCAAAAGCAGAUAUCUAGCUAGGUCUAAGGAUUUCAAACUUCAGUAUUCUCAUCAAGUAACUCACCAGUUCAAGUUUACUCUUUCACUGUCAUGCUGUGCACUGUGCGUAUCACAGCAGAUGGUGGAACUAAAGGGCAAAACUGAUACAUGUUUAAUGCCUUAUAGUCAUCUCUGUCUUGAUUUAGUUAUUAUACAUAUACAAUUUCUCAUCAAGAAGAAGAUUUUAAAGGCAGGAAAUGGAGGUAGGAAAAACUUUAAGACAAUUGUAAAAGAAAAAUUUGAUAAUCAGCAUGUAUUUUUUAAUUCCACUUUGUUUUAUAAGUACAGAAAAUGCAAUAUCAAAAACAUAUUUGUUAUAUAUAUGGGAGGAAAGUGGAUAUAAGAAAUUCUGAAGAGUUGCAAAUAGUGGUGAGAGAAGGGGAGAUAUAAACUGAAGAUUACUUUUAAAAUCAACAUUUCCUUCUUUGUGGAAAACAGAGGCAAGAGUUUUGUCACUUAAAUUUAGUCCUGGUCAUUGCAGUUACAGCCUGACCUUGCAGUUGCUGUAAGCACAUCGCUUGUAUGGAAGAAAUUUCUAAGUCAGCAUGAAAAACAUAGUAUAUAUACCAAAAAUACAAAUUCCUAUUGUGGAGAGCAUGCAUUACAUUCAUCCUUCAAUCAGAAGCAAUAAAUCCAAGUGGGAAACAGCAAAACAUUAACCUUCCACAGAACCGGUUGUACCUUUUCUGCAGCAUUUUCAUCAGUGUGUGAGAUUUUUCACAACUGCUGAUAAAUGAUACUGACCAGGUAAGAUUAUGUGUAAUUUUUGGAUUUACAUUGUGACUAUUCAGUGAAGUAAAUGCUGUCACUUUCAUACACUUUCACUCUACCACAAGUUAUCCUACAUAUCAUUAACUUUUGAUUUUGGUCCACUUUAGAAGACAGUGCUUGCCUGGUGUCACCAAAAUAAAUGUAGCCAUGUAAAUAUGACUUUCAUAAUUUACAAGUCACUUCUUAAAACUCUGACAAAACCAAACUUUCCUGUGAUGAUACCCUCUUAUGGUCAGUUCAUAGUAUGAAACAACAAGUUAGUAUCUACCCACUGGACCAUAAAGAAUUUUUCAGCAGGGUGCUAUGCAGUCCCUUUGACAGUUCAUUUUCUACAUAAAUCAUUUAUAACAAUACUGACUUAGAGAACCUGGAGGUAAGCACCACCAUCACCAAGAAAAAAAUGUGAAGAAAGGUAUCCAUCUUUUUCAUACAUGUUAGCCUUAUCAGUAAAUGCAAAUUACUUAUUUUGAUUUUGAUAAAUCUUCCUUGUGAUCCUCCCAUCAGAGAUAUUUGAGGACUUUUUUUUUUUAAGUGGAAGACAGGAAAAUUAUAAGGAAAUGCUAAUAUUCAAACUGUUUCUGAUCUUUCUUGGUCUUAAUGCACUUAGGUCCAAAUAUACAGUACUUUCACAUUGUCAAGUCAGUAGAUUUGAAUUAUGUUUGUGGAUAGAAACUAAUACCCGCAAUCUAAGCACCAACAAAGAAAACCAGUACCUACAUUCAUCUACACAUACUGUGUUUUACUAAACCAUAACAAAUUAAACUGGAAGAAAUUAUGGAUUCUUACAACUACUUUCUCUCAUAACAGCACACUGUUCUGAGUCCUGUACUUUUUGGCAAGUAAUGUCACAGAAUUGGCUUCCUCACUAAAUAUUAGAUGUUAUAGUUAAGAGAAACACAAGCAUGGAAAAAUAACAUCACCCAGCAUCACUUGGCAUAUGCUUUGGUCUGUCAGUCAUCUUUUCUGGAAGAUGAAAUCUGAUGGUCCUUACCAUGUUGCACUAUGCAGAGUGACUGCAGUAGCCUCCAUCUCUUCAGCAUCACUUCUUAAAAGCAAAUUCUUAUUAGCAUUCUGCUCCUGAACACAUGUCAGAAGUCAUUAAAUGUAGCCAAGCAACUGCAUGUAGCUAUCCCUUACUUCAUGUAUUCAGUGUGUGGGUAGGUCUAGCCAUGUAUCAAAUGUAUGCAACUGUAAUAUGAAUCAAUAUUAUUCUUCAUGCAUCAUCGACUGCAAUCUCAUAGGCUAGCACAGCCCAUAGGCUACAAUAAAUUAAGUGAUAACUUCCCUGAUAAGAUGGAAUCAAGGUGGAUUUCUAGAAUUCUGGAAAAAUUUUCUAAUUUUUAAGGCAGAUUUUUUAUCACAUUGAAAACAUAGAGAUAUGGAGGAGAAAAAACAUGCUGUCAUCAGUUUGGAGGACAGUAAUAUUAAAAUUUGGUUCAGGAAGAAAUUUUAUGCUAUAUUGUAAUUACUGGUGGUUAUACAAAGAACCACAGUGUAUUUAUGAACACUGUGAAAACUGGGAUCAGGUUUUCUGGAACUUGAUUUAUAAUGACUUUGCUGAACUCAGGUUAAUUAUGAGGGAGGCCCAUCUGAGAGAGAAGGCACACCAUGGAACAAAAGAGAUCCAUUUUUUUCAUCUACUGUUUGAAUUUCAUCCUUUUUUCUUUCAUCUGUUUUCAUCUUAUGGAAGCGAUUAUAAGUGCUAAUGAGACAUUUGAUCUUGCUCAGGCAGUCAUUUUCUGGUUAACACAACAGAGGUAUCAAGCAUCUAUUUUGGUAUUAUAGGAAGUCAGCAGGCUGGGGUCACAUAUUCUUUUCUCUUAUACCUACCCAGUUGCAGCAAUCUUGUUUUGGUACUUGAAAUACUUAUGGUACUAUUUUAUUUUUCUGUCUGCAGCUCUUAUAUGACCUCCCCGUCACUAAUUUAUGUCAGGAAAAGAUACAACUCUUACAGGUGUUUCCAAUUUAGAAGCCAGUCAGAAUUAUAUGAAACUUUUCUUUUUAUUUUGGGAGCUAAUUCUACUCAAGUUGAAAAUUACAGAUGUGUUGUUUAGUUCAAGCAACAAGUGGUGACUGAUGAGCAGAAGCAGCAUUUGAACCUGGGACCCAGUGAGUACAAGUCAAUAAAUUGGGGGAUCAUUCUAAAGAGAACAAUACUGUUUGAAAACAUGACUUCUUUCAUGUUGAUUUAAUUCUUCAGAAACCAUAACCAAACCUGGCAGUUCUGAGCCAUUCUUUUCAUCAAUCUUAUUUAUCAAAAGAAAGCCAGAGAAUGCUUUUGGGCCUGUGUUCCUCAGGUGCUGAUAAUUAUGUGUAUAGACAGCACUGCUUACAUUACAUAGUAGAUCCAGUGGAACUGGGAAUACUACUGAAAUUUAAAGGAAGCACCCUGGAGAAGACCUAAGGUAUGUGUACCAGGCAAACACCAAAUAUUUAAUUCAUUAGGAUGAAUUUAGUUUUUAAAGAAAUAACCCUUGUUAAUCACCACUGCUCUUUCAUUAUGGUACAAUGAGUUUCUCUUGCUAACUUGAAUGUGGAGCUCUUCUAGUGCCUACUUUCCAUAAAUUAAAAUUGGUGCCAAUUAGCCAUUUAUAGGAGACAGACUUGUGAUAUCUUUUCAAGAAAUAACCAUAUGAGGACACUGAGAUUAAUUUGUGGAAAUACUUUAUACUUCCUAUAUUCCAGUUGUUCAAGGUAAUACCAGUAAUUUUUACAAACGCUCUUGCUCUGAGACUGAUAGGAAAUGAUGCUGAGUGUGUCUGUAUGCAUACAGUCUGGUAGUCAAUGAAAUGUGUUCCAAAGUCUUGUUACAAAUCAGAAUAGUAUUUGAACAUGCCUAUUGAGUAGGCAAAAACAAGUUUAUGAGAUGCCUUCAUUUUCUCACACCUCAUAUUGGAGAAAAAUUUUGGGUUUAACUUAACAUGUAGUUUUUACUAGAACACUCAGAGUGUUCAAAAAUCAGAAAAAAACCCCUUUGGGCUUUGUUUUCAUAUGUGGAAAAGGGAGAAUAGGCCCAGAGAAAAGAAAAAAUAUACUAAAUCUCUAAAAGCUGGUGUUUUGUCCAGGGUUUCUUUUCCUCCAAAUCUGCAAUUUAAAAAUUACCAAAUAUUGGUCAGUUACUUAUUUGGGAGUAACUUUUUAAGUGCUGGAUUUUUAAAAACCUGAUUUUAAUUGUGACUGAACACUGUUGUUUAAUUGUAUGACUGUGAUUUUAUAAUCAGACUUCCAAUGUAAUAAAUUAUAUGCAUGAAUUUUCCUUAUAUAAUGAACCAUUAAUAGUUACUUGAUGAGUAUUUCAAGUUACAAAAUUUCAAAGAAACUUUAGAUUGAAAAAAUUAAUUCUGAUGUAAAGACAUGUUGAAAAUCUUUCAAACUUUUCAAAGGUCUCUAAUGUUAUUAAUAUUUCAUUAAA